ACGGGAGGCAGCAGUGAGGAAUAUUGGUCAAUGGAGGCGACUCUGAACCAGCCAUCUCGCGUGAAGGAAUACGGCCCUACGGGUCUUAAACUUCUUUUAUAGGGGGAUAAAGUGAGAUACGCGUAUCUUUUUGUAGGUACCCUAUGAAUAAGCAUCGGCUAACUCCGUGCCAGCAGCCGCGGUAAUACGGAUGAUGCGAGCGUUAUCCGGAUUUAUUGGGUUUAAAGGGCGCGCAGGCGGCACGUUAAGUCAGAGGUGAAAUGCAGGGGCUCAACCCGGGCACUGCCGUUGAAACUGGCGAGCUUGAGUACGGAUGAAGUCGGCGGAAUGUGAUGUGUAGCGGUGAAAUGCUUAGAUAUGUCGAAGAACACCGAUUGCGAAGGCAGCUGACUAAUCCGCAACUGACGCUGAGGCACGAAAGCGUGGGGAUCGAACAGGAUUAGAUACCCUGGUA
rnacentral:rRNA from 1 species